CUUUAUAUACAUAUCAUACAUCCCCCUAAUGACAAAUUUCUGAGCAUGGGAUCAAGUUGAGUAACAUGAUCUUCCACUUGCUAUUUCAUGAAACUAUUCAAUAAUGGGCAGACUCAAGUCAAAACUCAUCACAAAAUUAUCAACUUAUUAAUCCCAUUAUAGAAGAUGGAACAAGGCAGAAACUAAGCAUCAAUGCAUUGAAUUUUGAUGCUUACUACUAGCC
rnacentral:misc_RNA from 1 species